GACUUUGAAAAGAGAGUCAAAG
rnacentral:snRNA from 1 species